GUCACUGCAAAUUCAGUGAUCGGGUUUGGUCGCCCGAAUAUCUCACGGUGCACAUCACCGCUAUAGCGGUUUUUUU
rnacentral:sRNA from 1 species